AGGGCGUACGGUGGAUGCCUUGGCGCCAACAGACGAAGAAGGACGUGGCAAGCUGCGAUAAGCCUCGGGGAGCCGCAAGCAGGCUUUGAUCCGGGGAUUUCCGAAUAGGGAAACCUAUCCUGGUAAAACCAGGUUACGGCCCGCUGAAUACAUAGGCGGGUGCGAGUCAACCCAGGGAAGUGAACCAUCUCAGUACCUGGAGGAAAAUAAAUCAAUUGAGAUUCCGAUAGUAGCGGCGAGCGAAAUCGGAACAGCCCAAACCGGGGUGUUUACAUCCCGGGGUUGUAGGACCGCGUGAGUAGAGUUACCAAUCCGGAGGCUAGGUGAACCUGCUGGAAAGCAGGGUCAAAGAGGGUGAAAACCCCGUAACCGAAAGCUUACCGGACUCGAAGCGGUAUCCUGAGUACCACGGGGCACGAGAAACCCCGUGGGAAUCUGGGGAGACCACUCUCCAAGGCUAAAUACUCGUUGGCGACCGAUAGUGAACUAGUACCGUGAGGGAAAGGCGAAAAGCACCCCUGCGAGGGGAGUGAAAUAGAACCUGAAACCGUAUGCUUACAAGCAGUCAGAGGGCAAUGCCGGGUCUUCGGAUCCGGAAAGCCUGAUGGCGUGCCUCUUGCUUAAUGAGCCGGCUAGUUAUUCUNNUGUGGGAAUAGACGCGAAGCGGGAUGAUCUACCCUUGGCCAGGUUGAAGGUCGCUUAACCGCGACUGGAGGACCGAACCGGUGUGAGUUGAAAAUCGCUCGGAUGAGCUGAGGGUAGGGGUGAAAGGCUAAUCAAAUUCCGUGAUAGCUCGUUCUCCCCGAAAUGCCUUUAGGGGCAGCCUNNNNNNNNNNNNNNNNNNNNNNNACGGGAGUGAGACUACGGGGGAUAAGCUCCGUGGUCGAGAGGGAAAGAACCCAGACCGCCAGCUAAGGUCCCAAACUGCAGACUAAGUGGGAAAGGACGUGUGAGCGCACAGACAGCCAGGAGGUUGGCUUAGAAGCAGCCAUCCUUUAAAGAAAGCGUAACAGCUCACUGGUCAAGUGUUCACGCACCGACAAUCCAACGGGGCUAAGUCUGCGACCGAAGCUGCGGAAUUGACGAUUCCUACGGGAAUUCGUCAUUUGGUAGGGGAGCAUUCUAUUGUGUUCGACGGUAGAUCGAGAGAACUACUUGACGCAAUGGAAGAGACUCUGCCGGCAUAAGUAGCGAUAAACACGAUGAGAACUCGUGUCGCCGAAAGUCUAAGGUUUCCUGAGGAAGGUUAAUCCGCUCAGGGUUAGGCGGGUCCUAAGGUGAGGCCGAGAGGCGUAGCUGAUGGACAGCAGGUCAACAUUCCUGCCCCGCCAUACGAACGUUUGACGAUGGGGUGACGCAGAAGGAUAGGGGAGUCGGGUGAUGGACGUCCCGAUGUCUUGGUGUAAGCCGGAUCCCGCAGGAAAAUCCACGGGGUCAUUCAACGGUCAGACCAGGUCCGAGGCCACACGGCCACAAAGUCUCUGAUUUCACGCUGCCAGGAAAAACCUCUAAGGAGUUCGGAUGGUGCCCGUACCUCAAACCGACACAGGUAGACAAGGUGAAUAUCCACAGGCGCUCGAGAGAACGCUCGCUCAGGAACUAGGCACAUUAGCCCCGUAACUUCGGGAGAAGGGNNGGCCGCAGUGAAAUGCGUUCGGCGACUGUUUAACAAAAACACAGCUCUCUGCUAAGUCGAAUACGACGUAUAGGGGGUGACGCCUGCCCGGUGCCGGAAGGUUAAAGGGAGGGCUUAGCUGCCGCAAGGCAGCGAAGGCUUGAUCUGAAGCCCCGGUGAACGGCGGCCGUAACUAUAACGGUCCUAAGGUAGCGAAAUUCCUUGUCGGGUAAGUUCCGACCUGCACGAAUGGCGUACCGAUCGAACGACUGUCUUGGCGAACGGCUCGGCGAAUUUGUGGUUCCGGUGAAGACGCCGGAUGCCCGCAUCUAGACGGAAAGACCCCGUGCACCUUAACUGCACUCUGGUCAUGAUUAACGGU
rnacentral:rRNA from 1 species